GACGAACGCUGGCGGCGUGCUUAACACAUGCAAGUCGAACGGACAGGCCACUUUCUGGCGGUUCUCGCGUGGCGAACGGGUGAGUAACAAGUAAGUAACUAACCCAUGUCUAUGGCUUAACUACCUGCAACUAACCCGAAUACCUGCCAGGAGCUCCUGUGGCCUGGUUGGGGCUGUAAAGUUUCGGCGUUUUGGUGUGGCCUCGCGGCUUAUCCGCUUGUUGGUGGGGUAUUGGCUUACCAACGCGUUGACGGGUAGCCGGCCUGUGAGGGUGAGGGGCCACAUUGAGACUGAGAGACGGCACAGACACCUACGGGAGGGAGCAGGGGGGAAGAUUGCAGAAUGGGUGGAAGGCUGAUGCAGAAAGGCCGUGGGCGGGAUGACGGCCUUCGGGUUGUAGACCGCAUGCGUUCAUGACUAAGCUCUGUGUGACGGUAGUGAGUAAAGAAGCACCGGCUAACUACGUG
rnacentral:rRNA from 1 species